rnacentral:rRNA from 1 species
CUCAAAUGUAUGUUGACGUAUCUGAAAGGGAUACUUCUUCGGACAAUAUACAAGGUGCUGCAUGGUUGUCGUCAGCUCGUGCCGUGAGGUGUCGGGUUAAGUCCCAUAACGAGCGCAACCCUAUCAUUAGUUGCCAUCAGGUCAAGCUGGGGACUCUAAUGAAACUGCCUACGCAAGUAGUGAGGAAGGUGGGGAUGACGUCAAAUCAGCACGGCCCUUACGUCCAGGGCUACACACGUGCUACAAUGGCCGGUACAAAGGGCAGCGACACUGCGAGGUGAAGCCAAUCCCGUAAAAUCGGUCUCAGUCCGGAUUGGAGUCUGCAACUCGACUCCAUGAAGUUGGAAUCGCUAGUAAUCGUGGAUCAGCAUGCCACGGUGAAUACGUUCCCGGGCCUU